GACGAACGCUGGCGGCGUGCUUAACACAUGCAAGUCGAACGGAAAGGCCCUUCGGGGUACUCGAGUGGCGAACGGGUGAGUAACACGUGGGUGAUCUUCCCUGCACUUUGGGAUAAGCCUGGGAAACUGGGUCUAAUACCGAAUAGGACCACGCGCUUCAUGGUUUGUGGUGGAAAGCUUUUGCGGUGUGGGAUGGGCCCGCGGCCUAUCAGCUUGUUGUUGGGGUAAUGGCCUACCAAGGCGACGACGGGUAGCCGGCCUGAGAGGGUGACCGGCCACACUGGGACUGAGAGACGGCCCAGACGGCUACGGGAGGCAGCAGUGGGGAAUAUUGCACAAUGGGCGCAAGCCUGAUGCAGCGACGCCGCGUGAGGGAUGACGGCCUUCGGGUUGUAAACCUCUUUAAAUAGGGACGAAGCGAAAGUGACGGUACCUAGAGAAGAAGCACCGGCCAACUACGUG
rnacentral:rRNA from 1 species